AACAUCGCCUCUUGCUAAUAUAAGAGGUCCAGCCUGCCCAGUGACUUCUGUUUAACGGCCGCGGUAUCCUAACCGUGCAAAGGUAGCGUAAUAACUUGUCUUUUAAAUAAAGACUAGUAUGAAAGGCAUCACGAGGGUCAAACUGUCUCCUUUCUCUAAUCAGUGAAACUAAUCCCCCUGUGAAAAAGCAGGAAUAAAACUACAAGACGAGAAGACCCUAUGGAGCUUUAAACUUAACAGCACCUACAAUAAUCAAAGAUAAUCCCACACACCCUGCUGCCAGUUUUAGGUUGGGAAGACCGCGGAGAAAAACAAAUCCUCCACAAUGAAAUAGAACUAAUUCUUAAGUGAAAAGCUACAACUUAACACAUCAACACUCUUGACAUCUAUUGACCCAAUAUUUUGACCAACGAACCAAGUUACCCUAGGGAUAACAGCGCCAUCCAUUUUGAGAGCCCCUAUCGACAAAUGGGCUUACGACCUCGAUGUUGGAUCAGGGUAUCCAAGUGGUGCAGCCGCUACUAAUGGUUCGUUUGUUCAACGAUUAAAACCCCACGUGAU
rnacentral:rRNA from 1 species